GCCUCCGUGGCUCAGUUGGUGAGAGCGGCUGGACCAGCAAUCUAUAGUAGGACGCAGGUUCAAAUUCUGCCGGAGGUG